UACAGAGGGUGCAAGCGUUAAUCGGAAUUACUGGGCGUAAAGCGUGCGUAGACGGUUGCGUAAGUCAGAUGUGAAAGCCCCGGGCUCAACCUGGGAAUUGCAUUUGAGACUGCGUAGCUAGGGUGCGGAAGAGGGAAGCGGAAUUUCCGGUGUAGCGGUGAAAUGCGUAGAUAUCGGAAGGAACACCAGUGGCGAAAGCGGCUUCCUGGUCCAGCACCGACGUUCAGGCACGAAAGCGUGGGGAGCAAACAGGAUUGAGAAACCCCGGU
rnacentral:rRNA from 1 species